UGUGGCGCCUGCCAUUGGCCAGGGGAGGCAGACGGCGCUCUGAUUGGCCGGGCCCGCGCCCGGGGAGCCCCGCAUUCUGCAGUGUCCGAAAGAUUCGAAACUCCAAAAGCUCCACUGCGUGCCUCUGGGAGGGGAGGGGGCGCGCCAGGAAAGGAGUGGAAAAAAGUGGGCGAGGAGGAGCGUUGAAAAUUUCCUGACAAGUAGUUUCCGUGCGCCCGAGAGCGUGUGAAUUGCUCCUAAUUACCGUGUCCGGUGCGCCUCUCUGCGUAGACUUGUGUAACCUCUCGGCUUCUGGGGCGCCGGCUCGGCUGCACCGCUCUUACUGGCCUGGGGCGCUUGGCAAAGCCGAGCUUCCCAAGUGGCUCUGGAGCCCUGAGGCGGGAUGGGGGGCAGAUUCUCUUAAACUCAGGACGCGCAUCGGUCUGUCCGACCUUCCCGGCAAGAGACAAAGUCACUGCUGGGAGGCCCCCUCGGACAGUUUUCAGUUUUAACUUUCGCCUUAUUCUCGUCUUGUCUUGAUGUCACGGCCCUGAGGAACAGCUCGUUCUGCAGAAGAGAAUAAAGAAAAUUCGUUUAAAUAAUGAGGAAAAUGAGCGUUCCUGUCGUUCUCCCUCCACUCUUGACCGUGCGUCUCUGCGUUGCUCUUUCGAACCUCCAGGCCGGCGGGAAUCUGGGCGCGCAGACUCGGCCCGGGUCGUCGCGGCCUCAGGACGCAGCCCAUUCCGCCUGGCACGACUACUGGGCCGCGUCUUGUCAGUCUAUCAGCUUCUGAGCCCAGGAAUGGGGGUGGGGGAAGGACGGUGCGACUAACGGGCCCCCACCCGAAGACCGCAGAACCUGGCGCCCCGGAAGAGCCCUGGAAGAUGCCCACCGGGAGGCUGAGGCUGGAGGGAGGAGUGGGUGGGGGUGAUUCGCUGGAGGACCGGGCGGAGAGCUUCCAGAAAGUUCACCAGGCCCCGGCGCGAGGGCGCUCCGACACGGACAAGGUCUAUGAUAGCGAUAAAAAGCUGGUUACUCGCUCCCAGAAAAUGCCACUUGCUGGAGUCUGUGAAUGGGUUUAGGAGAGAGAAGGG
rnacentral:lncRNA from 1 species